AUUGAACGCUGGCGGCAUGCCUUACACAUGCAAGUCGAACGGCAGCACGGGAGCAAUCCUGGUGGCGAGUGGCGAACGGGUGAGUAAUAUAUCGGAACGUGCCCAGUCGUGGGGAUAACGUAGCGAAAGCUACGCUAAUACCGCAUACGAUCUACGGAUGAAAGCGGGGGGAUCGCAAGACCUCGCGCGAUUGGAGCGGCCGAUAUCAGAUUAGGUAGUUGGUGGGGUAAAGGGCUCACCAAGCCAACGAUCUGUAGCUGGUCUGAGAGGACGACCAGCCACACUGGAACUGAGACACGGUCCAGACUCCUACGGGAGGCAGCAGUGGGGAAUUUUGGACAAUGGACGCAAGUCUGAUCCAGCCAUUCCGCGUGCAGGAUGAAGGCCCUCGGGUUGUAAACUGCUUUUGUACGGAACGAAAGGUUUCUAUUAAUACUAGGAG
rnacentral:rRNA from 1 species